UUUAUUCUCUGCGGGAUUGUAAUUUGUCAACUUCCCGAAAUUUGUUUAUUUACAUCCUGAAAGCUUUUCCUGAAAUCUUUCAAAAUUGACAGUAAUAACAGAAGAAAAACAAAACACAAACUUCAUUCAGAAUGUCUUUUUCCAAGGAGAAACUUCUAAACUAUCGGCCAUUUAUAGUUAAGAACUUGGUUUCCAUUGAAGAUGUGGUAGACACUUUAAUUUCUGAUGGUAUCCUCACAACUUCAGUUAACGAGGACAUAAAAUCCUGCGAGAAUGAGGAUAAUAAAAUACGCAAACUGCUUGAUUUUCUUGUGAAAAAAGGUAAAUCUGAAUUCGAUAUGUUCUGCUCUGCCUUAAACUCAACUGGUAAUGAACACAUUGCUUUAAAGUUAACCUUGAUGAACCUUUGAGCAAGAAUGAAACUGCUCCGUCUUUGCAGUUAGUAAACAAGAAAAGAACUAUCAUGGACGAUAAAGAUAAAGACAUUUUGAGAAAAUUACGAGUUCAGUUUGUGAAAAAUAUGAUUGAUGUGGAAGGAGUUGUUGACAUUUUGUUCAGUGAAGAUGUUAUUAAAGACUCACACAAAAGUUUAAUCCUGAGGCAUCUGGAACGGUCAAAGCAAAUUCGAAGCCUCCUUGAUAUUUUACCAAAACGGUUUAACAAUACCAUGUCUAUUUUCAUCAAAGCACUUGAAGAGACUGACAAUAUAGUCUUAAUUAACAAAAUUAAAGAACUUCGCCAUGUUUAAAAAGAUAACCUGAAAAUUAUAAUUAUUCUAUAUUAAAAAACCCGUCCUUUUUUAACUUGUCUGUUUAACAUAGGAUAUG